UGCAGAAGGGUGAAAUAGAAAACUAAUUGCUGAAAUUUUAUCAAUUUAACUUCUUCUUCUUUAUUUAUUUAUUCAUUUUUUUUUUUUGUAUAAAAGACCAGAGAUCUCAAGUAUAUCCAAGAUCUUUAGCUUUCUUUUAAGCUUCGCCUCUCUCUCUUUCUCUCUCACAACGGGAAUGAGCAACGACGAUAUGGUCAAGUCCAACAGCGCAUCUGGUGAUUGUGGUCCGUCGAUUUGUUCAGGUAAGAUCGAUGAUGAGAGACCCAUUUAUUCCAACUACUUUUUUCGUUUUACCUCCUUUAGCUUUAUGUGAGUUUGAUCAAAACUAUAACCAAAUUGCUCUCUUUCAUCGAUCAUUUUUGAAUCAAGAGCAAGUCAAUGGAAUCAUAAUCCCUAGAUUCAGAAUGUUGUGUGCCAUGGAGAGAAACAUCAGGUCUCAAUCGCAAUUUAGGUACCGCGCCAAUUCUAUCAUGGUGGACCACGAGGGACUAGCUGAAUAUAAGAAGAAGAAGAAGGAGAAUGAUAUACCACGCAUUGCCAAGGCUAAAGCGAUAUAUAUAAUGGAAUAAAGCUUAUUGCAGAACACAGAGCAUUGGAGGACCCAUCAGAGCAUUCAGAAAAGUGGAAGCGUAUAUCAAAGAAUAUGUCAGAUGGUGUGCUUACAAAAAAAAGUCUCAGGGCUGCACUUAUAAAAGAAUAUCAAGCUCAGGAACAACCCUCAACGGAAGUCCACUCUACCCAAGGUGAUGGUGGAUAUUCUCUGGAUUUCCUCUUGGGGAGUGUCUCACACAAUAAUUAAGAUGCAAAUGUUGGAGGAAGAAAUGAAUAGAAUUCUAGGUCUCACUAUUUCCCCACUUUUUGACAUUUGUACUUCGACAGAGCCUUUGUGAGGCACCUGAGGGUUCUCAGCAGCAGAUUGGGGCACGUUUGGCUUCACAAUCUUCUCAGACGUAGAACCUUACUUUCUAUUCACAUUCUACUUAUACUCAAAGAAAAUUAUGUGCUGAACUAGGAAAAUAUUUUGGCUUUUAUUGGUUUCUCAGUGAUUAUGAUAAGAAAAAAGUAGUUAGG